rnacentral:rRNA from 1 species
CCGGCGACGUUCGCGAGAAGUCCACUGAAACCUUAUCAUUUAGAGGAAGGAGAAGUCGUAACAAGGUUUCCGUAGGUGAACCUGCGGAAGGAUCAUUGCCGAU